rnacentral:lncRNA from 1 species
AACUUUGUUGUAGUUCUCACCCCACUAUUUCCACAGAGCCGGGACCGAGCGAGCCGGCGAGCGACCGAGGUAAAGGUAUCGCGCCUUAGUCAGAGGCCACCAGAGUUGGGUUUACAUUUUGUUAGUAGACACCUUUUUAUCAUCUUUUGUAUUUGAUGAUUUGUGAUGUAAAGAAAGAAUGUAAAGCUUAUUUUGAGGUAAAUGUGUUGUAAGAAAGAAAUGAUGAGAUUAUGUAAGAACAGCAAAGAAUCUUAAAUGUAAGAGAUGGAUGUAAUGUAUAUGAUCUAAAAUGAAUCAUAUUA